GUUGGGAGAGCGUUAGACUGAAGAUCUAAAGGUCCCUGGUUCGAUCCCGGGUUUCGGCAGAAGCUUUUUCGUUCCCCGUGCGGGUGACGGCCCCUGCUUUUGCCGCCGGGCGGAGCGGGGCCGGGGCUGCGGUCCCUGCGUCGGGCGAGGGGCGGCUCUCCCGGAGUCACCGCAGGCGCUCAGGUGGGUGAAGAUUUUGUGACGGGAACCACUUCCCGGAGGACGGCAGCAGUGGAGCAGGUCCCGGGUCGUCACCUCGGGCAUGACCGGGCGCGCAGAAGGACACUGAUAAGCCGUCCUCGUUAGUAUAGUGGCAAACACACACGGCUCUUGUGUUCUGCUGGAGUUCCAUCGCCACGCCAAGGCCCUACAGCAGCCCAAAAAGAGGGACAAAGCUCCAAACCCCAAAACGCAGGGGACACUGGCCAGCCCCACCUGACACCUCCUCAUCCCAUAGCCUGGCAGAGCUGGGGACGUGCAGACCUGCAGCGACACAGAGCUCACGGUCUCUGCUUCACAUUCCCAGAGCCAAGGGGGAGGGACAAACACCAGGACACCCCAGGUGACUGCAGUCACUGGCUGCGACAAUGCAGGAGCUUCUCCCCUUCUCCGACCUGGCUCUGCAGUGCCCACUCCCCUCCACUGUCCUGCUCAGCCCCUCGGCAGCGUGGGCAGCUUCGCCCAGAGCAGCUUGGAAAGAGCUCUUGGGGAAACAACCUCUCUGCUUUGAUCUCCUCAGGCUGGCUGGGCUCAUCAGGAAACCCUUUGGAGCCGAGAGGGCUGAGUUAUGGCACAGUUGAGAGUUUUGGCCCAGAGAGACCAAAGCCCACGUAGAGCCCGAAACAGCUUUUAUCUACACAGUUCAGUGGCAGCUGUUUCAUCUCACUGUUCAGUUACCAACAGUGAAUCCAACAGCAGUGGGAGAUGAUCGGUGACAAAUGCAAAGUGACAUUUCCUGCCACAGUGGCUGAAAAGCUCCUUGUGCUAUUUAUUUACUCAUCUUACUUCCAGUUGUUAUUUUGAGCCAGUAUUUGGCUACAGCACUGCUAAGUGUGAAUAUCCCUGUUGUAAAUCACUCCCUGGAUCUCCCUGGGCAGCUGUACUUCUGGAAUAUGCCCUGCAUGUAAAUAUAAGAAAUAGUUUAUUCUAACAGGCACAAAGUAACUUUUUGGCACAGGAAGUUGGUAUUUGUCAGUAAAGCAGGUCAUGGUCUGUUAAGAUCAACAUAUUCAUCAAGCCUGCACUGAAAUCCUAACGGUGGGUACUCAGAGAGGCAGGGUAGGAUAAACAAGGAGGGCUUUGUUCACAGAAAUCCUCUCCCAGCUCAGGAAACACUGUCCUCCUGCAAACCACACAGAUGUGUUUAAGGACUAUUGGAUGAGGGCCGAACAUCUGCCUUGCCAAUCUCAACCUUUAAAUGUGUGCUCCUCCUGUGUUUGAUUCAGACAUCAGGUAUAAACUCACUCAGGAUGCUCAGUGCUUGGCUGAUUACCCUAAUUAGGUGAAGAACAGCACUGUGUCAUCUUAUUUCUUCCUGUUACAAAACUCCAUCUUGUCAGGAAAUACCUUUCCAUGUGCAUUUUUGACUAUUUUCAGACCAGUCCUGAGUGCUCCCUCUGUAACUAAAAGAACAAGCUUAACAUUAAUAUUCAGCUGAGGAAAGACCUAAACCUGGAAGGCUUUUCCAGUCUUUGAUGUUUAUUCAACUCCCAAUGCACACAGUGUCAGCCACUGAGCACUGAGAAGAAACCAAAAGACUUCUGUGGAUUUUUUUUCCCCGUCUAAAUGACCCCAGCGUUUGAGAUUAUUAUCACUGCUGCUGUGGUGAGUGUCGGUACAAACACGAGGCAGCAGAGGCCGAGGAGCUCCCCAGAGCGUUCCCCUCCUGUAACAGCUCCAUGUGUCAGCCAGACACAGGCGGUUUCCCUCAAACCAAUCACAAAGCUGUUGCUGGGCCUCUGCUCUGUUCCUGCUGGUGAGCAGUCCUGGGUGUUAUCUGUGUCCCUUCCAUUUUCCUUGGGUGCUGGCAAACGAAGGAUUUUGUAGGCGGAUUGGACCGAAUGGCGUCUCCUGAAUCUUGCAGACAAAGCCCCGUUUUGUUCUCAGCCGUGGCCUGGAAUUGCUGUGCAGUUUGACUGGGAUGGCACAGGAGCCAACUGAGUGCAGCAGAGAUCUGCCAGAAUGUGCUCUGCAAGAACAGAAUAAGAAAUAGGCAUUAUUCUGAUUUGUUUAUGAUUGAUUUUACCCCAGGCUAGGGUAAAGGCAAGGCCUUAGUCCUGAAUUAUGAACUCCACGAUAGCUCAGAUGCACAGUCUACUUUAUGUGUGUGUAUAUAGACACUCAUUGUAUCUCAGGCAGACCAUCUGCAGGACUUGGAACUCUGUAUCCAUCCUUUUUUGUCCCUCAUGUCACCUCUCCACCCCAGGCAGGAGCCUCCUGUAGCCCCCUUUUCCUGAGGUGGUCCAGCCUCGGCAGGUGUCCCAGCACCAUCUCCUCCCUGUCCCCUCUCCCACGGCCAUGGUGGCACUGAGGGUCUGGCACGACCUGCCCGUCCCAGCGGGGUUGUGUCCUCAUGUCUAAAGCCCUGAAUAAAACGUGAGGCUCUGGAAUAAAUCUUUAAACACGG